CUGGAUAGGAUAAGGAGGCAUUUCUUCACUCUUUUAACAUUACUGUUUGGAGGGGCAAGAAGGGAGGUUUCAUGCUAAGACUGAGAUCUUGGACGCCACCAGCGAUUUCUCCAUGACAAGGUAAGGUUUAUAAACCUCUCUAUUAGAAAAAUAUAGAUAUUUAAGAGUACAUAGAGGAGAUAAGACCCAUGCGGGUUUAUAAGUUGAAGAAAGGUUAGGGGUUAAUAGAUGAGUCUUAAUGACAUUCCUCUGUUCUAUUGAGUAGUGGUUGUUGUGGUACCAAGUUGACUGAUGGAACUAGAGUUUAAGCUACUACUCGUAACCACCAG
rnacentral:lncRNA from 1 species